rnacentral:lncRNA from 1 species
UCUUGUUUUUCUUACAUUACAGGUCAUUUAUUUCCCAGACAAUGGAAAAUUAGGGCAUCUAAUUCUUCAGAUAUAACUCUUUCCUCCAGCUUCCUUGUCCCUGGCCCAAGUCAUGCAUCGUGGUUGGAAGCUGACCAUCUCUUAAGACAAGACUCCUGCAGCACAGAGACCUCUUCCAGGUGAAGCAGAACUGCAGUGAUCCUUAUCAAAGCUGUUCAGAGGCAGAGUGGCAUGGGAGUUGCUCAGCCAUGGAGGAGUCCGAAUUUCAUUCCUAUCUUUUAACACCAGCUUUUCUGUAAAAUGAGAGGCCUGGCAAGUCCUCUCUAGGGGUCUCUCCUCAGUCUCUGGCAACUACUUCACGCAGGGUACAAUCAUUUCAAGGCACACACAGAAACAAAUGCUAACAGCUCUAAAAAGGUCACUGAAGAAGAGGUGGCUGAAAGUAUGUUGGAUUAAUUCAAGCUGAUUGUGGGGGAAGGGGGGUCUCUUGCUUCUCCCCGCUUUUUGCUUACUUACUGAUGUUCAGAGAGGCAAGGAACGGUGGAACCACCAGAAUCUGAAUCCUUUAACAUCCAUCAGUUAGUCUAAUUGGGUAAAUAUACGUAGGACCUAAAAACUCCUGAGGUGGUGGAGGUAUAGUUCAGUGGUACAAAGCUUAUCUAGCAUGCACAAGACCUCAGGUUCAUCCCUGGUACAGUGAACCAAAAACCCUUUGAGACUAAUUUCACACUUAUCUCCUCAACAUUUCCUCACUGACCCAACCAGAACCAGAUACCAGCUUCAGAAAUUUGUUACCUGUAUCCAAGUCAUUUGUUACAGGAAUAGAAGGCACUUCUUGUCAAAAACUUUUGAGCGAUACUGAAAUAGGAUCUGGUCUUUGUCCAUUUUGAGUGACUCAGUAAAGAAACUACCUGGGUAUGCUAUUCUCACAGGGGGAGAGGGGAUAAAUGCUGAAUAAAACUAAGAAUCUUGUUGCUUGAUCAAAUGAUAUGGAAAUUUUGUUAUUCUGGGCCAUCAGUUGUUUCUUGUACAGUACUACUUGCUCACUCUGCUGUCUGCACUGGUUCAGCUAGGCUGAGAAUGAAUAUCCUAGUGUGAAUCCAGUUAAACAGCUGGUGAUAAAAACUACUAUAACAGAGUUUAC